rnacentral:lncRNA from 1 species
CUUUACUUUAAAGUAAUUUGUAUUAUUCAAAUGUUGUAAAGAGCAUAAGCUCAUCUUUACUUUGAAGUACUCCUUUCUUGUAUUAUUUGAUAUGCAUGAAAAUGGAGUAGAGGGUCCAACGCCCCUAAGACAACACGCCUUAAUGUGAUUAAACGCGUAACUAAAAUCAAUUAUCAUCCCUAGACCGAGAUUCAACACUAGGCUCGUGUUGAAUCUAAUCAAAGGUUCAUAGUCAUCCUAAGGCCCUAAGGCAACUAUAUAGUCCAUCAAAUGAAUGCAAAGUUUAUGUUAGUAGUAUCAUAUACUCUUGCUUUAAAAACCGUUUUAUAAGCAUAGUGGGAGUAUUAUAUACAACUAAAAACAAUCAAAUGGACCAAUAGUUGUAAUAGGACCAAAUUGUUUUAAUAAGAUUAAAAAGUAUGUUUAUAUGUGAUGAGACCUAAAACCCUCAACCAAACCAUUAUUAAGUUGAUAAGCGAGAGAUGCUUUGAACAUCUCUUCGUAGGCCUUCCACCAUGGUGGGCUUCAAUCGUUUGUGACUCAUACACCGUAUUCGUCUAGUUCUGGGGUAUGCAAAGUAUGUGCUUACAUUCAGGAGAAGCCUAUAAACAUAUGAUGAAGUGAAGGUAGGCAACGAGUAUGGUCAAUAUGAUAUUCUUCUGAGGCCAUUCCCCUACUUGAACUAGCAUGGUGGGAAUGACUUAACUAAGUGCAAUGAUGCCAAUUUGAUAUUCUUCUGAGGCAUCAUUUUCUAGAGGCCAAAUUAGAUGGGUAAUUACAAAAGUUGUAAAUGGCUAAAGUCCUCUCAUCAUUAUUGUUGCUAGCCAAUAUGAUAUUCUCCUGAGGUGGGCUUGGUAAUAGUGAGUCUCCCAUACCCUACUAAGAGUUUCAUCCAAAACUCUCGAAUUCCAAUGAGGGAUAUGGAAUUUGCCAAAAAUAGUGGGUGGUGCUAUUUGAUUUAAAGACACGGAUCAAAUGGCUUAAAAAUCAAUCAAUUUAUAUUCGUUAUGUAUUUGUUUACCAAUAUAUUUGCAAACGUUAUCCAAAACUUGACAAAGAAAAGCCGAAUGCUUUAGUUUCCGGACUUGGUACCACAAUCCCAAAGAUUGUUUUAAAUGGAUUGUAUAUGUACCUAAGUAGUCUCAUCCACACAAUCUUCCUAUUGAUAAUGUAUCAUUACAAGAAUAUGUUAGAAAAGGUCUAUCAUAAAGAGGACAACACUUUUAAUGUCAUAAUUCUUCAAUUACAAUUUGUUGUAUGAAGAAAUAAGACUUGCUUUGAACAACUCUUAGUUAAAUGCAAACAUUAGUGCUUGUUUCUUUGUUACAUGAACAAGGAACUUUAGAAGUAAGCACAAGGGCAUGGACACUUUAUGUGCCAUGAUUCUUCACUUACAAAUUGUUGUAUGAAGAAAUGAGAGUUGCCUUGAACAACUCUUGAAAGUUUGUAAUUAUGUUUAGAACAUAAUGGUUGUUUGACAAAAAUAGUCCAUCAACAUGGACUUAUGAUGAUUUUGAAUCAUUGAGUGUUGAAGUGAUAAACCACUUAACGAGACGAACUAUAUAGUGAACUAUAACCACACACUCUCCAAAUCGUUUGAUGUGUAUAACAUAAUUGAAACAGGUUUCAAGAGAGAUAGUGGGAGUUUAGGGACCAUGACUAUUGUAGUCAAAAGGAGAAGUCAAAUGAAGAAAGCGAAAUAAACUCCAAGGGAACAAACUUUCUUUAUGAAAUUAUGGACAUUGGAAGGGGUAUUUGCAAGAAAUGUCUUGCAAGUGUCAAGAACACACCUUUCGAAGGUGUUGUAAAUUGUUCUUGAAUAGUUCAAAACAGUUGGUUCUUCUACUUGAAUGCUUGAUUCCGUAUUAGUACCUAUGUUUUACAAUCGUUGUAAAAGUGUGACUAAUAAGAAGUAGAAGAUAUAUGAGAGAAGAAAAAGGUGCUUCACAUUUGGAACGUGAAUAAAAUAAAGAUCUCUGCGAAAGCAGAUAGUACUUACUUCCUCAUAUGAACUACCAAAGAAAUUGGAAAAACCAAAUAUUGUCUUUACAUUCCAAUUUUAAGGAACUUAAUUCCGUCACUAUAAGGGAUGGAUGAAUGUUUUGUUUGACAAAACAUUAUUCUUUAUUAGUCAAUGAUUGGAUUAUAGUAAUCUAAUUGAUUGUCUCUAUAGUAGAGAUGAUAUGGUAGUGUUAACAGUUUAGAAUAUAAUGAUGCUUAAAACCCAAAAAGGUUGCAAGGUAGUGACUAAUCCCAACUAAAGUUGUGAUACCUCUAAAACAUAAAUUACAAGUUGGUCAUAGAUGGAUGCUUUAGAUCGUUAGAUCCGGAUCCAAUAACUUCUUAUUAAAAUUGUAUGGAGGCGAAAUGUUCGAAUCUUUAUUCUUUUGGAAAGAAGAAAGAAU